CCUACGGGAGGCUGGAGUGGGGAAUAUAGGACAAUGGGGGCAAGCCUGAACCAGCCAUUCCCCGUGCUGGAUGAAGGCCUUCGGGUAGUAAUCUGCAUUUGUACGGAACGAAACGGCGAGCUCUUAUACUGUUAGCUAAUGACGGUACCGUAAGUAUAAGCACCGGCUAACUACGUGCCAGCAGDCGCGGUUAUACGUAGGGUGCAAGCGUUUAUCGGUAAUACUGGGCGUAAAGCGUGCGCAGGGGGUAAUAUAUGACAGAUGUGAAAUCCCGGGGCUCUACCUGGGAACUGCAUUUCUGUCUGUAAGGCUAGAGUACGGCAGAGGGGGUAGGAUUUCCGCGUGUAGCAGUGAAUUGCGUAGAAAUGCGGUCGAACACCGAUGGCGAUGGCAAUGCCCUGGGCCUGUACUGUCGCUCAUGCACGUAAGCGUGGGGAGCAAUCAGGAUUAGAUACCCAGGUAGUCCACGCCCUAAAGGAUGUCAACUGGUUGUUGGGUCUUCACUGACUGAGUAACGAAGCUAACGCGUGAAGU
rnacentral:rRNA from 1 species